rnacentral:rRNA from 1 species
GAUCCAGAGAUUUCCGAAUGGGGGAACCCAACAUCUUUAAUAGGAUGUUACGAUUGUGUGAAUACAUAGCACAUUCGAGGUAGACGCAGAGAACUGAAACAUCUAAGUACCUGCAGGAAGAGAAAGAAAAUUCGAUUCCCUGAGUAGCGGCGAGCGAAACGGGAAAAGCCCAAACCAGCAAGCUUGCUUGUUGGGGUUGUAGGACUCCAAUAUGGUAGUUCUUUCAGAUAGUCGAAUGACUUGGAAAAGUCAGUCAAAGAGGGUAAAAACCCCGUAGACGAAAUGUGGAAGACACCUAGGAGGAUCCUGAGUACGGCGGAACACGAGAAAUUCCGUCGGAAUCCGGGAGGACCAUCUCCCAAGGCUAAAUACUCCCUAGUGACCGAUAGUGAACCAGUACCGUGAGGGAAAGGUGAAAAGCACCCCGGAAGGGGAGUGAAAUAGAACCUGAAACCGUGUGCCUACAACAAGUCAAAGCCCGUUAAUGGGUGAUGGCGUGCCUUUUGUAGAAUGAACCGGCGAGUUACGAUUGCAUGCGAGGUUAAGUUGAAGAGACGGAGCCGCAGCGAAAGCGAGUCUGAAUAGGGCGUUUGAGUAUGUAGUCGUAGACCCGAAACCAUGUGAUCUACCCAUGUCCAGGUUGAAGGUGCGGUAAAACGCACUGGAGGACCGAACCCACGUACGUUGAAAAGUGCGGGGAUGAGGUGUGGGUAGCGGAGAAAUUCCAAACGAACUUGGAGAUAGCUGGUUCUCUCCGAAAUAGCUUUAGGGCUAGCCUCGGAAUUGAGAAUGAUGGAGGUAGAGCACUGUUUGGACUAGGGGCCCAUCUCGGGUUACCGAAUUCAGAUAAACUCCGAAUGCCAUUCAUUCAUAUCCGGGAGUCAGACUGUGAGUGAUAAGAUCCAUAGUCGAAAGGGAAACAGCCCAGACCACCAGCUAAGGUCCCAAAAUAUAUGUUAAGUGGAAAAGGAUGUGGGGUUGCACAGACAACUAGGAUGUUGGCUUAGAAGCAGCCACCAUUUAAAGAGUGCGUAAUAGCUCACUAGUCGAGUGACCCUGCGCCGAAAAUGUACCGGGGCUAAACAUAUUACCGAAGCUGUGGAGUACACCUUUAGGUGUAUUGGUAGGAGAGCGUUCUAAGGGCGUUGAAGGCAGAUCGUGAGGACUGCUGGAGCGCUUAGAAGUGAGAAUGCCGGUAUGAGUAGCGAAAGACAGGUGAGAAUCCUGUCCACCGAAUGACUAAGGUUUCCUGGGGAAGGCUCGUCCGCCCAGGGUUAGUCGGGACCUAAGCCGAGGCCGACAGGCGUAGGCGAUGGAUAACAGGUUGAUAUUCCUGUACCCGUUGUUUUUGUUUGAGCAAUGGAGGGACGCAGGAGGCUAAGGAAUGCAGACGAUCGGAAAUGUCUGUCCAAGCAGUAAGUCUGAAGAGGAGUCAAAUGCUUCUUUUCUUA